UUCGCAAUGCCCGAAAGGGUGACGAGGCGACGCCGCGUGUGGGAAGAAGGCCUUCGGGCUGUAAACCACUGUCAGGAGUUAAGAAAUGUAAGGAUGUUAAUAGCGUUCUUACUUGACUAAGGCUCCAGAGGAAGCCACGGCUAACUCUGUGCCAGCAGCCGCGGUAAUACAGAGGCGGCAAGCGUUGUUCGGAGUUAUUGGGCGUAAAGAGCACGUAGGCGGCCCUGAAAGUCAGUUGUGAAAGCCUUCUGCUUAACGGAAGAACAGCAUCUGAUACUACAGGGCUAGAGUGCGGGAGGGGAGAGUGGAACUUCUGGUGGAGCGGUGAAAUGCGUAGAUAUCAGAAGGAACGCCGGCGGCGAAAGCGACUCUCUGGCCCGUAACUGACGCUGAGUGUGCGAAAGCUAGGGGAGCAAACGGGAUUAGAUACCCCGGUAGUCCUAGCCGUAAACGAUGGGCACUAAGUAGAGGGGUUUA
rnacentral:rRNA from 1 species